CAAAAGCUCAAAUUUGAAAUCUGGCGUCUUCGACGUCCGAGUUGUAAUUUGAAGAAGGCGACUUUGUAGCUGGUCCUUGUCUAUGUUCCUUGGAACAGGACGUCAUAGAGGGUGAGAAUCCCGUGUGGCGAGGAUCCCAGUUAUUUGUAAAGUGCUUUCGACGAGUCGAGUUGUUUGGGAAUGCAGCUCUAAGUGGGUGGUAAAUUCCAUCUAAAGCUAAAUAUUGGCGAGAGACCGAUAGCGAACAAGUACAGUGAUGGAAAGAUGAAAAGAACUUUGAAAAGAGAGUGAAAAAGUACGUGAAAUUGUUGAAAGGGAAGGGCAUUUGAUCAGACAUGGCGUUUGCUUCGGCUUUCGCUGGGCCAGCAUCAGUUUUAGCGGUUGGAUAAAUCCUCGGGAAUGUGGCUCUGCUUCGGUAGAGUGUUAUAGCCCGUGGGAAUACAGCCAGCUGGGACUGAG
rnacentral:rRNA from 1 species